rnacentral:rRNA from 1 species
UACAGGGGGGGCAAGCGUUGUUCGGAAUUACUGGGCGUAAAGGGCUCGUAGGUGGCCAACUAAGUCAGACGUGAAAUCCCUCAGCUUAACUGGGGAACUGCGUCUGAUACUGGAUGGCUUGAGUUUGGGAGAGGGAUGCGGAAUUCCAGGUGUAGCGGUGAAAUGCGUAGAUAUCUGGAGGAACACCGGUGGCGAAGGCGGCAUCCAGGACCAACACUGACACUGAGGAGCGAAAGCGUGGGGAGCAAACAGG